GGGCCUCCAGAUGGUUUGUCAUCCCUUUUCUGAAGGUCUUUGUCUGGGAGGACUGUUUCUCAUGUGGGCAUUGCUGCUGUCAGUAGAAGGUGGGAUGUGGGCAUUGCUGCUCUCAGUAGAAGAUGGGGAGUGUUUGCUGCAUCUGAGGUUCUUCCUGCUGGGCUGCAUGGGAGAGGCAGAUGUGGAGGUACAGGAGUAAGAGAUGAGAAGGUUUUGGGACACCCUCUGUUGCUUGAACCAGGAGAAUAAUGAUGCUGGAGUCACUGUCCUACAUGGAUCAGGCUGUGCUAGCCAAGUUCACGAAGGAGAAGUUGAGGACUGCUUGACACUGCAGGCUCCAUGCACUUGCCUGUCCCUGGAGACACAAGGAGAGAGAUUGGGUCCAGUUCCUCACCCACACUGGGCUUUGGUGUGGGCACCUGCCAGCUCAUUCAUCUGCAUGAAGAAUGUGAGAUCCUCAUGGCCAACACAAGUAGAAAGGGACAUGGAGCAUCAUUCCACAGGAUCUCAGAGCUUCAUCCAGCACCUGGGAAGCCAGAGAGGAAAGGACCUGGGAAAGGACCUGUUGACCAACAGCCCUCAGCCCUUGCAGUCACAUCCAAGUCCUAAAGUUAUCAGACAUUCAUCUUGUAAGAUCAGAGACUGACUCACGAUAUCUCACUCCUUGAUACCAAGGCAUCUUUACUGCCAAGCACAUGGACUUUUCAAGCCUGACACAGCACACAGCACAGACCCUGAGGGAGGAUGUCGCCAGAGCAGGAGGACUACCAGCCAUUGGUCAGAUGAGUGUGAGGAGAUGUCCAGAUCCAGCAACAGCAAUGCCCUCUCAGGGGUUCCGUGGAUGUGUGUGGGCUCACUGGAGAGAGGUGGCACUUGCUGGUGUCCCCAUAGCCCAUCAGAGAAGCAGAUGCUUCAAGGCUGGGGAAAAGUACCAUGGAACUCACAGCCCUGCAGCACAGCUGAUGCCAGGGUCCUCACCUAGAGUGCCAGCACCUCACCAGGUAGUGUUUAUCCAUAGAGCCCACAGACAGGCCAUCCUUGGAGGACCUUUUUGAGCAUUCUUGGCUGCAGGACUCCCACGUGGCCCAGGAGACAGCUGAGAUCCAUCCCUCUGCACAGCUGGAUCCAGGAGCCCAGCAAGUACCAGCUGCACACAUCUCGUGGCGCUGGAAGAAAACCCCAGAGAGUUUCCCUGCACCUGUAUGAGGAAGAUUACACCUGGUGCCGGAAUUGGACGGGGAAGCACUUCCACCGUCCAUGGAGUGUGUCCAGUGCCAGCGCUACCCCAGGGGCCCACGGUCUGCGGGGACAUCCCCUUCAGGAAGGACAAGGGCCUCAUGCAGGAUCAGCUCCUCUCCUGGCAGCAGGUUUCCAGAGGCUACCAGCACCUCAUGCUAUGGAAAUGGCACUGCCUUGCCUGCCAGUCUGAGAGGGCUGGAGAGCGGCAAGUGUUCAUUUGCUGUCAAAAAUAAAUAUUUUUUUGUUGU